UUUACGGAGAGUUUGAUCCUGGCUCAGGACGAACGCUGGCGGCGUGCUUAACACAUGCAAGUCGAACGCUGAAGCCAGAGCUUGCUCUGGUGGAUGAGUGGCGAACGGGUGAGUAACACGUGAGUAACCUGCCCCUGACUCUGGGAUAAGCGCUGGAAACGGCGUCUAAUACCGGAUAUGAGCAAUCACCGCAUGGUGUGUUGCUGGAAAGAUUUAUCGGUUGGGGAUGGACUCGCGGCCUAUCAGCUAGUUGGUGAGGUAAUGGCUCACCAAGGCGACGACGGGUAGCCGGCCUGAGAGGGUGACCGGCCACACUGGGACUGAGACACGGCCCAGACUCCUACGGGAGGCAGCAGUGGGGAAUAUUGCACAAUGGGCGCAAGCCUGAUGCAGCAACGCCGCGUGAGGGAUGACGGCCUUCGGGUUGUAAACCUCUUUUAGUAGGGAAGAAGCGCAAGUGACGGUACCUGCAGAAAAAGCACCGGCUAACUACGUGCCAGCAGCCGCGGUAAUACGUAGGGUGCAAGCGUUGUCCGGAAUUAUUGGGCGUAAAGAGCUCGUAGGCGGCUUGUCGCGUCUGCUGUGAAAACCCGAGGCUCAACCUCGGGCUUGCAGUGGGUACGGGCAGGCUAGAGUGUGGUAGGGGAGAUUGGAAUUCCUGGUGUAGCGGUGGAAUGCGCAGAUAUCAGGAGGAACACCGAUGGCGAAGGCAGAUCUCUGGGCCACUACUGACGCUGAGGAGCGAAAGCAUGGGGAGCGAACAGGAUUAGAUACCCUGGUAGUCCAUGCCGUAAACGUUGGGAACUAGAUGUAGGGACCUUUCCAGGGUUUCUGUGUCGUAGCUAACGCAUUAAGUUCCCCGCCUGGGGAGUACGGCCGCAAGGCUAAAACUCAAAGGAAUUGACGGGGGCCCGCACAAGCGGCGGAGCAUGCGGAUUAAUUCGAUGCAACGCGAAGAACCUUACCAAGGCUUGACAUAUACGAGAACGGGCGAGAGAUCGUCAACUCUUUGGACACUCGUAAACAGGUGGUGCAUGGUUGUCGUCAGCUCGUGUCGUGAGAUGUUCGGUUAAGUCCGGCAACGAGCGCAACCCUCGUCCUAUGUUGCCAGCACGUAAUGGUGGGAACUCAUGGGAUACUGCCGUGGUCAACACGGAGGAAGGUGGGGAUGACGUCAAAUCAUCAUGCCCCUUAUGUCUUGGGCUUCACGCAUGCUACAAUGGCCGGUACAAAGGGCUGCAAUACCGCGAGGUGGAGCGAAUCCCAAAAAGCCGGUCUCAGUUCGGAUUGGGGUCUGCAACUCGACCCCAUGAAGUCGGAGUCGCUAGUAAUCGCAGAUCAGCAACGCUGCGGUGAAUACGUUCCCGGGCCUUGUACACACCGCCCGUCAAGUCAUGAAAGUCGGUAACACCCGAAGCCGAUGGCCUAACCACUUGUGGAGGGAGUCGUCGAAGGUGGGACUGGUGAUUAGGACUAAGUCGUAACAAGGUAGCCGUACCGGAAGGUGCGGCUGGAUCACCUCCUUUCUA
rnacentral:rRNA from 1 species